GGAGAUGUACCGAAGUGGCCGUAACGGGGCGCUCUCGAAAAGCGUUUGUCGGGCGACCGGCACGUGGGUUCGAAUCCCACCAUCUCCGCCA
rnacentral:tRNA from 1 species